rnacentral:rRNA from 1 species
UGGGGAAUAUUGGACAAUGGGCGCAAGCCUGAUCCAGCCAUGCCGCGUGAGUGAUGAAGGCCUUAGGGUUGUAAAGCUCUUUCGACGGGGACGAUAAUGACGGUACCCGUAGAAGAAGCCCCGGCUAACUUCGUGCCAGCAGCCGCGGUAAUACGAAGGGGGCUAGCGUUGCUCGGAAUCACUGGGCGUAAAGGGCGCGUAGGCGGACGUUUAAGUCAGAGGUGAAAGCCCAGGGCUCAACCCUGGAAUGGCCUUUGAUACUGGACGUCUUGAGUCUGGUAGAGGUUGGUGGAACCUGCGAGUGUAGAGGUGAAAUUCGUGGAUAUUCGCAAGAACACCGGUGGCGAAGGCGGCCAACUGGACCAGAACUGACGCUGAGGCGCGAAAGCGUGGGGAGCAAACAGGAUUAGAUACCCUGGUAGUCCACGCCGUAAAACGAUGGAUGCUGGCCGUUGGCCGGUUUACCGGUCAGUGGCGCAGCUAACGCGUUAAGCAUCCCGCCUGGGGAGUACGGCCGCAAGGUUAAAACUC